rnacentral:rRNA from 1 species
GAUGAACGCUGGCGGCGUGCCUAAUACAUGCAAGUCGAGCGAACAGACGAGGAGCUUGCUCCUCUGACGUUAGCGGCGGACGGGUGAGUAACACGUGGAUAACCUACCUAUAAGACUGGGAUAACUUCGGGAAACCGGAGCUAAUACCGGAUAAUAUAUUGAACCGCAUGGUUCAAUAGUGAAAGACGGUUUUGCUGUCACUUAUAGAUGGAUCCGCGCCGCAUUAGCUAGUUGGUAAGGUAACGGCUUACCAAGGCGACGAUGCGUAGCCGACCUGAGAGGGGGAUCGGCCACACUGGAACGGAGAAACGGUCCAGACGCCUACGGGAGGCAGCAGUAGGGAAUCUUCCGCAAUGGGCGAAAGCCUGACGGAGCAACGCCGCGUGAGUGAUGAAGGUCUUCGGAUCGUAAAACUCUUUUAUUAGGGAAGAACAAAUGUGUAAGUAACUAUGCACGUCUUGACGGUACCUAAUCAGAAAGCCACGGCUAACUACGUG